GUUGUCCGGAUUUAUUGGGCGUAAAGAGCUCGUAGGCGGUUCAGCAAGUCGGGUGUGAAAACUCUGGGCUCAACCCAGAGACGCCACCCGAUACUGCUGUGACUAGAGUCCGGUAGGGGAGUGGGGAAUUCCUGGUGUAGCGGUGAAAUGCGCAGAUAUCAGGAGGAACACCGGUGGCGAAGGCGCCACUCUGGGCCGGCACUGACGCUGAGGAGCGAAAGCGUGGGUAGCAAACAGG
rnacentral:rRNA from 1 species